CAUAGGUUAAUGAGGCGAACCGGGGGAACUGAAACAUCUAAGUACCCCGAGGAAAAGAAAUCAACCGAGAUUCCCCCAGUAGCGGCGAGCGAACGGGGAGCAGCCCAGAGCCUGAAUCAGUGUGUGUGUUAGUGGAAGCGUCUGGAAAGGCGCGCGAUACAGGGUGACAGCCCCGUACACAAAAAUGCACAUGCUGUGAGCUCGAUGAGUAGGGCGGGACACGUGGUAUCCUGUCUGAAUAUGGGGGGACCAUCCUCCAAGGCUAAAUACUCCUGACUGACCGAUAGUGAACCAGUACCGUGAGGGAAAGGCGAAAAGAACCCCGGCGAGGGGAGUGAAAAAGAACCUGAAACCGUGUACGUACAAGCAGUGGGAGCACAGAGCAAUCUGUGUGACUGCGUACCUUUUGUAUAAUGGGUCAGCGACUUAUAUUCUGUAGCAAGGUUAACCGAAUAGGGGAGCCGAAGGGAAACCGAGUCUUAACUGGGCGUUAAGUUGCAGGGUAUAGACCCGAAACCCGGUGAUCUAGCCAUGGGCAGGUUGAAGGUUGGGUAACACUAACUGGAGGACCGAACCGACUAAUGUUGAAAAAUUAGCGGAUGACUUGUGGCUGGGGGUGAAAGGCCAAUCAAACCGGGAGAUAGCUGGUUCUCCCCGAAAGCUAUUUAGGUAGCGCCUCGUGAAUUCAUCUCCGGGGGUAGAGCACUGUUUCGGCAAGGGGGUCAUCCCGACUUACCAACCCGAUGCAAACUGCGAAUACCGGAGAAUGUUAUCACGGGAGACACACGGCGGGUGCUAACGUCCGUCGUGAAGAGGGAAACAACCCAGACCGCCAGCUAAGGUCCCAAAGUCAUGGUUAAGUGGGAAACGAUGUGGGAAGGCCCAGACAGCCAGGAUGUUGGCUUAGAAGCAGCCAUCAUUUAAAGAAAGCGUAAUAGCUCACUGGUCGAGUCGGCCUGCGCGGAAGAUGUAACGGGGCUAAACCAUGCACCGAAGCUGCGGCAGCGACGCUUAUGCGUUGUUGGGUAGGGGAGCGUUCUGUAAGCCUGCGAAGGUGUGCUGUGAGGCAUGCUGGAGGUAUCAGAAGUGCGAAUGCUGACAUAAGUAACGAUAAAGCGGGUGAAAAGCCCGCUCGCCGGAAGACCAAGGGUUCCUGUCCAACGUUAAUCGGGGCAGGGUGAGUCGACCCCUAAGGCGAGGCCGAAAGGCGUAGUCGAUGGGAAACAGGUUAAUAUUCCUGUACUUGGUGUUACUGCGAAGGGGGGACGGAGAAGGCUAUGUUGGCCGGGCGACGGUUGUCCCGGUUUAAGCGUGUAGGCUGGUUUUCCAGGCAAAUCCGGAAAAUCAAGGCUGAGGCGUGAUGACGAGGCACUACGGUGCUGAAGCAACAAAUGCCCUGCUUCCAGGAAAAGCCUCUAAGCAUCAGGUAACAUCAAAUCGUACCCCAAACCGACACAGGUGGUCAGGUAGAGAAUACCAAGGCGCUUGAGAGAACUCGGGUGAAGGAACUAGGCAAAAUGGUGCCGUAACUUCGGGAGAAGGCACGCUGAUAUGUAGGUGAAGUCCCUCGCGGAUGGAGCUGAAAUCAGUCGAAGAUACCAGCUGGCUGCAACUGUUUAUUAAAAACACAGCACUGUGCAAACACGAAAGUGGACGUAUACGGUGUGACGCCUGCCCGGUGCCGGAAGGUUAAUUGAUGGGGUUAGCGCAAGCGAAGCUCUUGAUCGAAGCCCCGGUAAACGGCGGCCGUAACUAUAACGGUCCUAAGGUAGCGAAAUUCCUUGUCGGGUAAGUUCCGACCUGCACGAAUGGCGUAAUGAUGGCCAGGCUGUCUCCACCCGAGACUCAGUGAAAUUGAACUCGCUGUGAAGAUGCAGUGUACCCGCGGCAAGACGGAAAGACCCCGUGAACCUUUACUAUAGCUUGACACUGAACAUUGAGCCUUGAUGUGUAGGAUAGGUGGGAGGCUUUGAAGUGUGGACGCCAGUCUGCAUGGAGCCGACCUUGAAAUACCACCCUUUAAUGUUUGAUGUUCUAACGUGGACCCGUAAUCCGGGUUGCGGACAGUGUCUGGUGGGUAGUUUGACUGGGGCGGUCUCCUCCUAAAGAGUAACGGAGGAGCACGAAGGUUGGCUAAUCCUGGUCGGACAUCAGGAGGUUAGUGCAAUGGCAUAAGCCAGCUUGACUGCGAGCGUGACGGCGCGAGCAGGUGCGAAAGCAGGUCAUAGUGAUCCGGUGGUUCUGAAUGGAAGGGCCAUCGCUCAACGGAUAAAAGGUACUCCGGGGAUAACAGGCUGAUACCGCCCAAGAGUUCAUAUCGACGGCGGUGUUUGGCACCUCGAUGUCGGCUCAUCACAUCCUGGGGCUGAAGUAGGUCCCAAGGGUAUGGCUGUUCGCCAUUUAAAGUGGUACGCGAGCUGGGUUUAGAACGUCGUGAGACAGUUCGGUCCCUAUCUGCCGUGGGCGCUGGAGAACUGAGGGGGGCUGCUCCUAGUACGAGAGGACCGGAGUGGACGCAUCACUGGUGUU
rnacentral:rRNA from 1 species